GGGUGUAUAGCUCCAAUUGGUUAGAGCGGCUGAUUCCAAAUCAGUAGGUUCAGGGUUCGAGUCCUUGUGCGCCCG
rnacentral:tRNA from 1 species